CAGGCUUCUGUAUCGGCUGCCGUGUUAUAAAUAAAUACUCCUUUUCCUGUAGAUUAAAAGCACAGACUUCUGAGUUAAGUUGUUAAACCUUUAGAUUCCCGAUCUCUAAUUCCUGCUCAUGGUACUGAAGAAAGACAGUCACGCUGGAAAGAAGUGUAACACAAAUCAGAAAGGAAGGAGAGCUCAAGGCACUAUGAGGAGUCAAAACCUAAAGAGAGAGCAAUACCCACAGCAGAAAAGCAGAGGGAACAUUUAGUAGAACCCAGUGAAAGUUCGAAAGUCAAAAAACCUGAAUCUGUAAUUCAACAUUGAAGUGUUUCCAGAGAAGAAGGUAGUAGAAGUUUCUUAAGAAAAAGUGACUGGUGACUGGUCAGAUGAAGAUGUCCCAGAAAGUAAAGAGCCUGAUCCUGUAGAGAAAACUAUAAAAUAACUUAUCAAAAAGCCUACUAAGGCCAAAACAGAAAAAGAGGAACCUCAUCCUGCAGCUGCUGAAGAACCUCCUCCUCGUAAACCCUCUAAGCAAAAACAUAGCAGUAGCAUCUCUAGCAACCAGAGUGGCACAUCCAUUGAUUCUGUUCAUUGAAGUGGAGAAGACCACAAUGCAAGGAGGAGAUUAUUGCAUUGUAGCUCUAGAGAUCGAGAAAGAAAUAAAAGCAUUGAGACCACUAAGUAAUUCAAGUCCAGGAUAGAUCAGCUGAAGAGUGAAGAGCCUAGCCGCAGCACUUUAUCAGAUUGUAGGAAUUCAAGAAGUCACAGUUCCAGAAGAAGUUCAACUGAUCAUCAAGUACAUUCCAGAUCUGGGCCAUUUAACAGAUCCCUUGGACGUUAUUGAUGUGGACUGGUCCAGUUUGAUGCCAAAGCAGCCUAAGGAACCUCGGGAGUCUGGAACUGUACUCUUUACACCAGCGGCAGUCUUGCUUCGUGUUGGCAUUUCAAAGCAUUUGGCUGGAAAGGAAUUGUUUAAUAAAGUUAGAGACCUCUGCCAGCUUCUAGAAAAGCCAAAAGUAUCCUAACAUUAUAAUUAUUCAGUGUCUGAUAUAUAAUUGCGUUGUUUUAUUGUGAUGGCAAACACUGUAGAUUUUUCUUUUUUUAAUUUGCAAUUAUAUUGGAUGUUGUGUUCAUUAUUAAAUGUAGGAUUCCCUGUAUAUAAAGGGGCAUUUCACCUUUAACUUUAACUAGGCAGUGAUAUUCUGAGACAAUGCAGUUGGUUUUGAUUUUUUUUUAUAUCUUGCAGUUUUUGAAUUAUUUAGCUUUUUGCUCAGCAGCUCUCCAGUUUGGAAUUUAUGCAGCUAGGCAAUGGUUUGAAUAAUAUGCUUAAAGAGGAUUCUGCUUUAGUUAUAUUUAAGCAGUGCCCCAACUUUUUUGUACGGGUUGUAUUAGACUGUAACAUUAAAUUGUAGCCUCACAGGGAAAUAGAAUUUUUUUUGGCCAUUGUGGGCUGCUCCUGUUUAAAAGCUGGCAAGAUAAAAGUAAUUAAUUAAACUAUGAAAAAUAAAGACCAAUUUAACAUUUGCAAAGAAUUGCAUAUUCUAGAACUUAUUCGUUAUAAUAGUUAGCUUAAUGAUUAACUACCCAUUUAAACAUUCAGGCUUUUUUGAGGCCACAUCCUGACAUUUUGUGCUUUCUGUACAACAUAGUUUCCUUUGCCCCUUGUAGCUUGCCUUGAUGUUGACUCUUGCAUGAAAUUGGCUUUGAUCGAUUUCUUUUGUCUGGCAGUUUGCAUGCUGCUUUGUUUUUGACUUGCAUUUUAUUUCUA